rnacentral:rRNA from 1 species
AAACUUGGCAAUGCGAGNAAUCGUGACCAGGGAACUCCAAGUGCAUCGGGUAAGACCGAUGCUUUUCUUGACUCUUCAAAGGUCUUGGAAUAAGGGGUGGGUAAGGACGGUGCCAGCCGCCGCGGUAAUACCGGCGCCNCAAGUGGUAGUCGCUUUUAUUGGGCCUAAAACGUCCGUAGCCGGUUUGGUACAUUCGUGGGUAAAUCAACCAGCUCAACUGGUUGAAUUCUGCGAGCACGGCCAGACUUGGGACCGGGAGAGGUGUGGGGUACUCUCAGGGUAGGGGUAAAAUCCUGUCAUCCUGAGAGGACCACCUGUUGCGAAGGCGCCACACUAGAACGGAUCCGACGGUCAGGGACGAAGCCUAGGGGCACGAACCGGAUUAGAUACCCGGGUAGUCCUAGGUGUAAACGCUGUGGACUUGAUGUUGGGGGCGCUCCGAGCGCCCUCAGUGUCGAANCGAAGGUGAUAAGUCCACUGCCUGGGGAGUACGGUCGCAAGGCUGAAACUUAA